rnacentral:rRNA from 1 species
AUUGAACGCUGGCGGCAUGCCUUACACGUGCAAGUCGAGCGGUAACAGGUUAAGCUGACGAGUGGCGAACGGGUGAGUAAUGUAUCGGAACAUGCCCAGUCGUGGGGGAUAACUACUCGAAAGAGUGGCUAAUACCGCAUACGACCUGAGGGUGAAAGCGGGGGACCGUAAGGCCUCGCGCGAUUGGAGCGGCCGAUAUCAGAUUAGCUUGUUGGUGGGGUAAAAGCCCACCAAGGCGACGAUCUGUAGCUGGUCUGAGAGGACGACCAGCCACACUGGGACUCAGACACGGCCCCGACUCCUACGGCAGGCAGCAGUGGGGAAUUUUGGACAAUGGACGCAAGUGUGAUCCAGCCAUGCCGCGUGCUGGAAGAAGGCCUUCGGGUUGUAAACCGCUUUUGUCAGGGAAGAAACGAGUUUCUCUAAUACAGAGACUUCAUGACGGUACCUGAAGAAUAAGCACCGGCUAACUACGUGCCAGCAGCCGCCGCAGUAA